ensembl:snoRNA
AUCCUUUUGUAGUUCAUGAAUGUGAUGAUUGGGCAUUCACAUGGAUGUGUGAGUGCCACCCUCGAACCUUGUUUCAACAUUGGCACAUUAUGCAUCCGACC